GACGAACGCUGGCGGCGUGCUUAACACAUGCAAGUCGAACGGAAAGGCCCUGCUUUUGUGGGGUGCUCGAGUGGCGAACGGGUGAGUAACACGUGAGUAACCUGCCCUUGACUUUGGGAUAACUUCAGGAAACCGGGGCUAAUACCGGAUAGGAGCUCCUGCUGCAUGGUGGGGGUUGGAAAGUUUCGGCGGUUGGGGAUGGACUCGCGGCUUAUCAGCUUGUUGGUGGGGUAGUGGCUUACCAAGGCUUUGACGGGUAGCCGGCCUGAGAGGGUGACCGGCCACAUUGAGACUGAGAUACGGCCCAGACUCCUACGGGAGGCAGCAGUGGGGAAUAUUGCACAAUGGGCGGAAGCCUGAUGCAGCAACGCCGCGUGCGGGAUGGCGGCCUUCGGGUUGUAAACCGCUUUCGCCUGUGACGAAGCGUGAGUGACGGUAAUGGGUAAAGAAGCACCGGCUAACUACGUG
rnacentral:rRNA from 1 species